UACGUAGGGGGCAAGCGUUGUCCGGAUUUAUUGGGCGUAAAGAGCGUGUAGGCGGCCUGACAGGUCUGCUGUGAAAACUCGAGGCUCAACCUCGAGAUGUCGGCGGAAACCGUCUGGCUAGAGUCCGGAAGAGGAGAGUGGAAUUCCUGGUGUAGCGGUGGAAUGCGCAGAUAUCGAGGAGGAACAUCGAUGGCGAAGGCAGCCCCUUGGACCUGUACUGACGCUCAUGCACGAAAGCGUGGGGAGC
rnacentral:rRNA from 1 species